UGAUGAUUGCCUUUGCCUCUGAGGCAUAGGUCCACCUAGAGAAGGAUGAGUUGAUGUUUGUGUUUUGAAGGAUCUUUAUAGCCAUUAUGGUUCUAAUCAUGCCUUGAAAGGAGGAUCCCAGAAAAGGACUGAAGAUCACUUGGUAUGAGAGGUAGAAAAUCCUGGUAUCAAAUUCUGAAACCAUGGCUAAUGGCUGCAAACUGUGUGCUACAAUCUAUCCUCUGUUGGGGAGUUCACAUGAAUUCAACUUAAAGAAAACCCACUUAUUGGAAUAUUUGGAAAACAUGGAAAAGUGUAAAAAUGAAAAUAAAAAUUACCUAUAAUUGGAUAAAUCAGAGAUAAAUGCAGACAAC
rnacentral:lncRNA from 1 species